GAAGGAGCUUGAGAGUAUCUGCGAUCCUAUCAUCGCCAAGAUACACCAGGCCAGAAUGCUGGUCCUGACAUGAGUGGUAGCAUGGAUGAAGAUGACCCUUCAACUGGGUGGCAGUGAUACUGGUCCUAAAGCUGAAGUUGAAUACGUUGGCAGCCUGAGCAAGAUGUGCUGUUGGGAAAUGUACUUUAGUGUGUUACAAGUUUAUUUUCACUUCAUGUUAUUGUGGAG
rnacentral:misc_RNA from 1 species